AGUGAACGCUGGCGGUAGGCCUAACACAUGCAAGUCGAACGGCAGCACAGUAAGAGCUUGCUCUUACGGGUGGCGAGUGGCGGACGGGUGAGGAAUACAUCGGAAUCUACUUUUUCGUGGGGGAUAACGUAGGGAAACUUACGCUAAUACCGCAUACGACCUACGGGUGAAAGCAGGGGAUCUUCGGACCUUGCGCGAUUGAAUGAGCCGAUGUCGGAUUAGCUAGUUGGCGUGGUAAAGGCCCACCAAGGCGACGAUCCGUAGCUGGUCUGAGAGGAUGAUCAGCCACACUGGAACUGAGACACGGUCCAGACUCCUACGGGAGGCAGCAGUGGGGAAUAUUGGACAAUGGGCGCAAGCCUGAUCCAGCCAUACCGCGUGAGUGAAGAAGGCCUUCGGGUUGUAAAGCCCUUUUGUUGGGAAAGAAAAGCAGCAGGUGAAAACCCCGCUGUUCUGACGGUACCCAAAGAAAAAGCACCGGCUAACUUCGUG
rnacentral:rRNA from 1 species